rnacentral:misc_RNA from 1 species
UCGAACGUUCACGGGCUCAGUCUUCGUUGGAUCGUCGCCAAGUGUGUGUCGUAGAUCGGUGCGCUCGUCUAUCCUUGUGCGUCGAUUCGGCGUGGUUUUUCGUUCGCCUCGCCUCUUUCUUCCCUUUUUCUCUCUUUUCCCUUCCCUUCAGUCCCCGAUUCUUUUAUUUCGUGUACGGACAAGGAAAUCAGUGUGUUAUAUGUUACAUGCGCGCGCAAGCCGCUCGUCGCGCAGCGGGUCGGACCAGUGGUGAAACACGACCAAGAAGAAAGAUAAAAACGCUGUGUGCUUUUGUGCGUGCGCGGAGUGUGCAAUAUUUUGAUUACAUCAGGGAUAAAAACACUAUAGAAGCAAACACGAGGGGCAUCGUGAAGCUCACCGAGCACGUCUCGCGAGAUAUGGAUUGGGCGCUCAAGGCUCGCCGAACGUACAAAGCGAAUCGUUGCGUGAGCGGGGGCGGUGGCCGCGGGAACGGCGCGACUGGUACCGGAGGCGGUCUAGGUAACGGAGGCAGCGGCCGCGGGGGCGGCGGGGGCGGUAGCCCCGGCAGGGGCGGCGGCGGAGGCGGCGUCGGAGGAGGAGGAGGAGGAGGCGGAGGUCGGAACGGAGGAAUAGACGGUGGUGCGAUACCCGCUACGCCACCGACGAUCAGCCGUUACCACCACCGCUACCAUCACCACCAUCACCACCAUCAUCGUAAUCACGACCACGUCACCACGACCACCACGGCGGACGCCACCACCAUCACUGGCGUCGCCUGGCACCUCAGGCACAAGCUACCCCUUGGAAAGCAGUGCCUCGAACACCGUCUUCAACACCGGCACCACCAUCGGUCCCCCUAUCGGGCCUUAAACAUGGGCCAAAAGAUUUCAGGAGGGGUUAAAAGCGUGACACGCGAGGCUACAGCAGGAGCUGUCGGUGGAGUCGGCGUCGGCGGUGGCGGCGUCGUAGCUUACAAACCAGUGGUACCAAGAGAGCUGGCGCAACACUUCGCGAGGCCGCCACGGCUCGAUGUCCUUCUCGACAUGCCACCCGCUUCGCGGGAAACACAAAUUCAUCAUAGCUGGAACGCCAACGAUCGUAGUCUCAACAUAUUCGUUAAGGAUGAUGACAAGUUGACAUUUCACCGGCAUCCCGUGGCCCAAAGCACAGAUUGCAUAAGAGGGAGGGUAGGGUACACGAAAGGAAUGCACGUCUGGGAGCUGUUCUGGAGCACGAGGCAAAGAGGCACGCACGCCGUGGUGGGCGUUGCGACGGCAGAAGCACCCCUUCACAGUGUCGGUUAUCAGAGUUUGGUGGGCAACAAUGAGCAAAGCUGGGGUUGGGAUCUCGGUAGGAACAAACUCCUCCACGACUCGAAGAACAAUACCGGUAUCACUUAUCCGGCUCUUCUCAAGUCCGAUGAAACGUUCAUUGUUCCUGACAAAUUCCUAGUGGUCUUGGACAUGGAUGAAGGCACGUUAGCGUUUGUCGUUGACGGCCAAUAUCUUGGCGUCGCGUUUAAAGGCCUGAAAGGCAAGAAACUUCAUCCCAUUGUAUCCGCUGUUUGGGGACACUGUGAGAUCACGAUGAAAUAUAUCGGUGGACUCGAUCCCGAACCUCUGCCUUUGAUGGACCUCUGUCGAAGAGUGAUCCGGAAACGAAUCGGCAAGGAGAAGAUAGAAGAGAAAGUGAAUGCGUUGAGCCUGCCGUUAGCGGUGAAGACUUAUCUCCUGUAUCGUGACAGGAGGUAACUACCGAGUGCUAGCUCCGUAAAUACUACAACCACGAUUACGACUGUGAACACCACCGCGCUAUUGAAUCGUUGCCACCACGACGCACAGGGGAACGCCCGCUACCCCGUCGCAUGCCACCGAGCACACCAGCCCAUAAGCCGCUUCUACGAUCCAUGGUGUUUCUAUCCAUGUCAGGAUAAGUCGAGACGAGCACGAUCUUCGUGGUCGCGUACGUUGUCGUCGUCUUCGUCGUCGUCGUCGUCGUCGUCGUCGUCAUCGUCGUCUUCGUCGUCGUCGUCGACGUCGACGUCGUCUUCUUCAUCAUCGUCGUCGUCGUCGUCGUCGUCGUCAUCGUCUUCAUCAUCCUCACCAUCAUCGCUGGCAUGAUUAUUCGUCGUCAUUCUCAUAUGUUCAUCAUUCUCGUUGUCAUUGUCGUUGUUAACCUGAUCGUUAUCGUCGUUGUCGUUCCCGAAUAAAAUCAAGAUGUGUACGCUAGGUUGUGGAAGGGGAAGAGAAGAAUU